ACAUUUUUAAAAAUUCACGUCCUGCAUAACAAUUACUUACUGGAACUUAAUAGGCAUAAUGGCUAUCAGGAAGUGACACCAAGGCAUGGGAAGAAUUUUGUAUGUUUAUUAGGUGGCCUUAGCCAAAGCUUUUAUAAUCACACAGACUCACCCAAGGACAGCCCUCUGAUCUCUCAAGGAGAAUGCAAUACAACAUAGACUUUGGCAACUGAAAACCUCAAACCUAAUCCUCGGUGACUUAAGGUUUCUGUUGGUAUUCACAGAAAUGCCUUUGGCUUGUCAAAAUACGAGUUGCAAUAUUUGCUUUAGUAUCUGCUCACCAUCCCAUCCCCUCUCUCUAAACUCGUUCAUUACCAUUAGGAUAUUCUGGGUGGCUGGGAUGGUUCAUGUAAGUGGGGACAAGACUUGCCAA
rnacentral:lncRNA from 1 species